GUCUUUGAAGAGGCACACGCAGGCCACGCUUUGAGAAGGUGAAGACGGAGGCUCCGGAGCUGAGGCCCAUCAAUCCAGUUGCACCCUGGCACAUGAUUGGUGAACGUCGUGUCAUCCAGUAUCAUGCUGCCUGAACUGGAAUGUAUCUUUACAUUUGGUUGCUAUUGUUACGGGCUAUGAUGGACAUCUUCCUGAAGCAUGGUGCCCCGGAGGUCAUCUUGACCGACAGAGGAAGGGAGUUCUGGAAUGAGGUGAACACGGACAUGUUCAGGAGGUGUGGGGUCAAGCACCUCAUGUCCUCCACCUACCACCCGCAAACUAAUGGUAUAUGGAAUAGCAUUAUCACACUGUUGGGUGCAAUUGUCAUUUGUGGUAAAGAAAAUCACUUCGACAAACAGGAUUGGAUGAGAGGACGAACCAAACUCUUAAAAUUUCGAUUGGGAAGACCCUUGAUGGACUUCAAGAGAGGUCACUGGAGGAGACUCUCCAGAGGAGGAUGUGGACAGUCCAGAUGAGGCGGACGUCGAAGCCUAUGUCGAGGAGCGAGACAGGAGAGAUGCAGAGGUUUUUGAAAAGGUGCAUGCCAACCUGGAGAGGGCCCAGCAGCGACAGAAAGAUGCCUAUGGGAAGAGGAUGAAGAAGGGGACAAAGAGGUAUCGUAUUAGGCCAGGUAUGGUGGUGUUGAAGAAGGAUGAGCAGAAGCGCGGGAGGCCAGGCAUGACGAUGAAGCCUACUUGGCCAAACAAGUACAAGAUCGUCAAGAUGGAGGACAACUUUGUCGAGCUGGAGACAAUGGAUGGGAUCCCUCUGACUUCCAGGACACCCUACGCAUCAGUAAAGCCAUUUCAGAUCAGUAUGUGCUGUACUGUUAUACUUAUACUUGUUCUGAAAACCAAACUGCAGUGCUCAACGCAGCUGGAAACAGCAAUCCGCCGAAACGGAGGAGACAGGAGGACACGGCCAGUCUACAAAACAUAUUGCAACAAAAGGAGAUCGUUCGA